AACGUUGGCGGCAUGCCUUACACAUGCAAGUCGAACGCGAAAGUGGGGGCAACCCUGCGAGUAGAGUGGCGAACGGGUGAGUAACACAUCGGAACGUACCCAGGAGUGGGGGACAACCUCGAGAAAUCGAGGCUAAUACCGCAUACGUCCUGAGGGAGAAAGCGGGGGAUUCGCAAGGACCUCGCGCUCAUGGAGCGGCCGAUGUCGGAUUAGCUAGUUGGCGGGGUAAAAGCCCACCAAGGCUACGAUCCGUAGCUGGUUUGAGAGAACGACCAGCCACACUGGGACUGAGACACGGCCCAGACUCCUACGGGAGGCAGCAGUGGGGAAUUUUGGACAAUGGGGGCAACCCUGAUGCAGCGACGCCGCGUGAGCGAUGAAGCCCUUCGGGGUGUAAAGCUCUUUCGGCAGGAACGAUAAUGACGGUACCUGAAGAAGAAGCUGCGGCUAACUACGUGCCAGCAGCCGCGGUAAUACGUAGGCAGCAAGCGUUGUUCGGAGUUACUGGGCGUAAAGAGUGCGUAGGCGGUUCUCUAAGUUUGGUGUGAAAUCUCCCGGCUCAACUGGGAGGGUGCGCCGAAGACUGGAAAGCUUGAGUGUGGGAGAGGUAAGCGGAAUUCCUGGUGUAGCGGUGAAAUGCGUAGAUAUCAGGAGGAACACCGGUGGUGUAGACGGCUUACUGGACCACUACUGACGCUGAGGCACGAAAGCGUGGGG
rnacentral:rRNA from 1 species